GACGAACGCUGGCGGCGUGCUUAACACAUGCAAGUCGAACGGAAAGGCCCUGCUUUUGUGGGGUGCUCGAGUGGCGAACGGGUGAGUAACACGUGAGUAACCUGUCCUUGACUUUGGGAUAACUUCAGGAAACUGGGGCUAAUACCGGAUAGGAGCUCCUGCUGCAUGGUGGGGGUUGGAAAGUUUCGGCGGUUGGGGAUGGACUCGCGGCUUAUCAGCUUGUUGGUGGGGUAGUGGCUUACCAAGGCUUUGACGGGUAGCCGGCCUGAGAGGGUGACCGGCCACAAUGGGACUGAGAUACGGCCCAGACUCCUACGGGAGGCAGCAGUGGGAGAUAUUGCACAAGGGGCGGAAGCCUGAUGCAGCAACGCCGCGUGCGGGAUGACGGCCUUCGGGUGGUAAACCGCUUUCGCCUGUGACGAAGCGUGAGUGACGGUAAUGGGUAAAGAAGCACCGGCUAACUACGUG
rnacentral:rRNA from 1 species